CCUACGGGGGGCAGCAGUGAGGAAUAUUGGUCAAUGGACGAGAGUCUGAACCAGCCAAGUAGCGUGAAGGAUGACUGCCCUAUGGGUUGUAAACUUCUUUUAUAAAGGAAUAAAACGAGGCACGUGUGCCUUUUUGCAUGUACUUUAUGAAUAAGGAUCGGCUAACUCCGUGCCAGCAGCCGCGGUAAUACGGAGGAUCCGAGCGUUAUCCGGAUUUAUUGGGUUUAAAGGGAGCGUAGAUGGGUUGUUAAGUCAGUUGUGAAAGGUUGCGGCUCAACCGUAAAAUUGCAAUUGAUACUGGCAGUCUUGAGUACAGUUGAGGUAAGCGGAAUUCGUGGUGUAGCGGUGAAAUGCUUAGAUAUCACGAAGAACCCCGAUUGCGAAGGCAGCUUACUAAACUGUGACUGACAUUGAUGCUCGAAAGUGUGGGUAUCAAACAGGAUUAGAUACCCUAGUAGUC
rnacentral:rRNA from 1 species